GUGCCAAAUCGCGUGCCUACAAGAGACGAAAUUACAAUCGGUCGACUCCACUUUGGCUACCUUCUUGGGAGCCUACAAACUAAACUGUUUUGCGUAUAAACCGGCGACAGGCACGAAAGGAGGAAUCCUCCUACUAUGGAAUGACAUGGCAGUACAAAUUCAGAAUGUAAUGAUCGGAUGAUAUUCCAUCUCGGAAGAUGUAAGAAUUCGACAUUGCAUGACAACCUUCACGUUAACCACGAUAUACGGCCCGGCGAGAUGACCCGAAAAAGAAGCUUUCCUACAACACAUGCGGACACUAAAACCACCUGACGACACAAAAUGGAUAAUACUAGGGGAUCUCAACUUAAUCUACCGCGCAAGAGAUAAGAACAAUAUGAAUCUCAACCGGAGUCUAAUGAAUAGUUUCAGAAAUGCCAUCAACUACUGCGGUCUAAAGGAGAUAAGCCUGCAAAAUAGAAAAUUCACAUGGAGCAAUGAGCAAAGGACACCCAUGCUAGUUCGUCUUGAUAGAGUGUUUUGCAACCAAAGUUGGGACCUCCAAUUCGACAAUUGCCUCCUCCACCCGCUAUCAUCAUCCCACUCCAACCACUGCCCCCUGCUACUAACCAACCAUGUCACCCUCAAACGCCC
rnacentral:lncRNA from 1 species